rnacentral:misc_RNA from 1 species
UCCUAGUUAACCUAGGCAGUCUCAUUAGAGUCCCCACCUUACGUGUUGGCAACUAAUGAUAAGGGUUGCGCUCGUUGCGGGACUUAACCCAACACCUCACGGCACGAGCUGACGACAGCCAUGCAGCACCUAUACAGAUGUCCUUGCGGAAAAUACUAUCUCUAGUAUCGUCAUCUGCAUUUCGAGCCUGGGUAAGGUUCUUCGCGUUGCAUCGAAUUAAACCACAUGCUCCACUGCUUGUGCGGGCCCCCGUCAAUUCUUUUGAGUUUCACUCUUGCGAGCGUACUCCCCAGGCGGUAUACUUAUCGCGUUAGCUUCGACACAGACAGGGUUGAGCCCAUCUACACCAAGUAUACAUCGUUUACGGCAAGGACUAC